rnacentral:rRNA from 1 species
GGCGACCUCUGCGUAGUAAUACAGCUCGCACCGGAACCCCGACGCGGCCACGCCGUAAAACACCCAACUUCUGAACGUGACCUCGAAUCACGUAGGACUACCCGCUGAACUUAAGCAUAUCACUAAGCGGAGGAAAAGAAACCAACAGGGAUCGCCCCAGUAACAGCGAGUGAAGCUGUCUACAGCUCAAAUUUGAAAUCUGGCUCUCAGGGCCCGAAUUGUAACUG